rnacentral:rRNA from 1 species
AUUGAACGCUGGCGGCAGGCCUAACACAUGCAAGUCGAGCGAGCGGCGGACGGGUGAGUAAUGUCUGGGAAACUGCCUGAUGGAGGGGGAUAACUACUGGAAACGGUAGCUAAUACCGCAUACCAUCAGAUUUGCCCAGAUGGGAUUAGCUAGUAGGUGGGGUAACGGCUCACCUAGGCGAAGAUCCCUAGCUGGUCUGAGAGGAUGAACAGCCACACGGGAACUGAGAAACGGUCAAGACGCCUACGGGAGGCAGCAGGGGGGAAUAUUGCACAAUGGGCGCAAGCCUGAUGCAGCCAUGCCGCGUGUGUGAAGAAGGCCUUCGGGUUGUAAAGCACUUUCAGCGGGGAGGCGUUACCCGCAGAAGAAGCACCGGCUAACUCCGUGCCAGCAGCCGCGGUAAUAC